AUUGAACGCUGGCGGAAUGCUUUACACAUGCAAGUCGAACGGCAGCACGGACUUCGGUCUGGUGGCGAGUGGCGAACGGGCGAGUAACAUAUCGGAACGUAUCCAAUAAUGGGGGAUAACUAAUCGAAAGGUUGGCUAAUACCGCAUACGCCCUACGGGGGAAAGCAGGGGAUCUUCGGACCUUGCGUUCAUGGAGCGGCGGAUAUCUGAUUAGCUAGUUGGUGAGGUAAAGGCUCACCAAGGCGACGAUCAGUAGCUGGGCUGAGAGAACGACCAGCCACACUGGAACUGAGACACGGUCCAGACUCCUACGGGAGGCAGCAGUGGGGAAUUUUGGACAAUGGGCGCAAGCCUGAUCCAGCCAUUCCGCGUGAGUGAAGAAGGCCUUCGGGUUGUAAAGCUCUUUCGCAAGGGAAGAAAACUUACUUUCUAAUAAAGAGUGAGGUUGACGGUACCUUGAUAAGAAGCAUCGGCUAACUACGUGCCAGCCGCCGCCGUAA
rnacentral:rRNA from 1 species